GUGCCUGCUUUGGCAGCACAUAUACUAAGAUUGGAAUGAUACAGAGAAGAUUAACAUGGCCCCUGCCCAAGGAUGAUACGCAAAUUUGUGAAGCAUUCUAUAUCUUU
rnacentral:snRNA from 1 species